rnacentral:lncRNA from 1 species
UUAUUAAUGGCUCUCCUACUAGGAGCCUGACAUCAUGGUGAGCAUCGAGAAAGGAAUAACCUAAGCUGAAGACAUGCCUUUUCUAUAGGAGGCAAAGUUCCACGUUCUGUGAAUGCCUUUGGCGAAAGUCAGGUGCCGAAGACAUGAACUUUGGUCUUCUCUGCAAUCCCUCUGGAGCAUUCAGUGACAACGUCGACUUUGAAGUUGCACUGACCUGGCCAGCCCUGCCACUUACCAGGUUGGGCUCUUGAGUUUCUGCUUUCAAGUGACCCUCAGAAAUGCCCCCAUUCACUGCAGAGGUUCUGUUUCUCCUUGUUUUGUUCCGACUUUAUGGCAGAACUAGGUUAAUGAGUUAAUUACUAUGAGUUAUCACUUGGAUUUGAAGAACCAUCAUUUCUAGGCUUUGCUGCUCAGAGUGGGUUUGCCCUCAGGGGAAGCUAUCUAACCAGAGCCUAACCCACUAGGGUUUUAUCAGAACCUAACUGGCCUGAGGAAAAGAAAUAUUCAACUCCAGCAAGCUCCAGCCUUCCAAACGGAGGAGGAGAAAACCCAAAUCCAGCCCACUUCAGCUAUCUUGUCCCACAUAAAGGGGGAGUGGAAGAAACGUGAGAAGCAGGCAUGAAGUUCACAGUCCGGAGGUACAGACACAUCAGAGUUCAGUAUCUGAUGAAUUAGAUGCAAAAUCCUCAACAAAGUAUUAGCAAAUUGAAUUCAACAAUGUAUGAAAAUUAUUACAUGCCAUGACUAAUUGGAAUUUAUCUCAGGUAUACAAGCCAUGCUGAACAUCUGAAAAUCAAUUCAUGUGAUCCAUCACAUUAGCAGAUUCAAGAAAAAAAAAACCACAUUAUCAUAUCAGUAGAUGUAGAAAAAAAAAAUUAACAAAAUCCAGCACGCAUUCACAAUGAAAAUGCUCAGUAAAUUAGAAAUAGAAGGUAACUUCCUCAACUUGACAAGGAAUAUCUCUAAAAACCUACAACUAAAAUCAUACUUAAUGGUAAAAAACUAGAAGCCUUCCCAGUAAGAGUAAGAACAAGGCAAAGAUGUAUGCUCUCACCACUCCUUUUCAACAUCAUAUUGGAAGUCCUAGCUAGUGCAAUAAGCAAAAAAAAAAAAAAAAGUUAUAUUAAUAAGAAAAAAAACCGUGUUUGUUUGCAGAUGACAUGAUUGUCUAUGCAAAAAA